AACAAGAGAAAAGAAAAUAGGAAGCCAACCAAACCUAGCCCGCGCCUCCGCAACCCCUGCCGCCGCCGCCUCCUCCUCUUCUGCCGCCGCCGCCUCGGCCUCGUCUCCUUUCUUGCCCUCAGCGGCCACCAGCGACCUCCGAGCCCCCCUUCUCCACCUCGUCACUGUGGUCACCUAGCUUGAGCUCGAGCGAAGGAGCGACUCGGCAGGACGCCGGGGGGCAGGGGCAGCAGCCAGCCGCGCCUCGCCCCGUGCUCUGCAGGCGCCCAUCGGCCUCGACCCGGCAGACGGCAGGAGGAGCUCGAGCCGAAGCCGAGGAGCGUGGCCUUGAUCCGGACUUGACUGCCUACUGGAGCAGCUGGAGAGAAGUGGUGGAUCCGACGGGGCUGGAAUCCCUCAUCACCGGGCGUGGAGGAUGUAUGACUCGCGAAGGAGGUAGCAGAUUGAGCAAAAUGGAGUGGCCUUUCCCAUCCGGUGGCCUACGCGUGUUGUGACUGGCUGCACUCCACUCCUUUCUCCCCUUGGUGGAUAGCUUAAUAUGAGGGGAGGCACAUAGGUUUGCUAAUUCUGUUUCUGGGCUGGCCUAUGAGAUGGAGACCAAAGCAAACUUCAGCAGGUUUCAGAUACCAAAUUAACUAGGCUUACGCAAAUAAGCUUCUUCAUUGUUUCCCUUCUGGGGAAAAGUUGUGGUCAUGUUAGUUCGUUGGUUGGCAUGCAUCUGCAAUAACUGCGUGGUGAAGCACUGGUCCUAAUAUGUCAUGGGUUUCAGUGGCGCGUAAGUAGGAUCUACUCAUUGUUCCAUUGACUGCCCUCCGGUGAAUUUUUACCCAUUUCCCUCUUUGAUGCUUUUGCAUCCAUAUGUCUAACUUGGUCUUUUUUCAACAUUUCUCAUGGUUUAUGUGGUAGCGUGGUUGGCUGACGGCUUAUAGCUUUCUGUAUCCUCUAUCAAAUGUGCGUGCUAUGAUAUUCUGUAAGGCUAGGAUCAUUUCUUGCCUUCAUAAUGUGUUAAAUUAAUUAUCAUAGUUAUAUGGUGAAUCUCGACAAUCCCCCGAGGACCAGGCCAUAGCUUAUGGUCCCUGUUUGGGUUUAUUUUGUUGCAAAAUGUAUUUUUGAAAAAAUGUUAUUAAGUUAUCGCUUUCUCUGCCUACCUCCCUUACAUCCUAAGGCUUCAUACCUUUCUCAUUUUAGUUGUCUUUUCGAGAUCGCCAUUACAUCCUUGAUGAACUAUACAUGCGCGACACAAGGCAUAUCAGACAUGACUGUUUCAUGACCAAGAUCGACCAGAACUGGCAUAAACGAAAUCAUUCACACAAUCAAGUUUGAUAAUUGAAAAUCUUUGUAGCUUGCUAAUGUCGUCGAUAUAAGCCAUCUUUUAUGUUGUACUGGUGGACAAAGAAGUAUAACAAGUUCGUAUAUUUUAUAUAUUGUAUUGUACAGUAGAGUGCGGGAUGUAUGAUCUGUAUGAAACUAACAUCAUGUAUUGCCUUGAUAUUAUCACUUAGUACAUCCCCAGUUAAUGUAUUUAUUUAUUUUCAUUUGAGUGAGAAGUUGAUGGUGCAAUUUUUCAUUGUUUUUCGUUAUCAUGUUUGAAUUUAUUAAAGGUUUCUUAGCAUUAGUUUCUUCUUGCAUGCAGUUUUCGUCACUGGGUCACCUGAUGGGUAAUGGGUGAGUGAGUCUGCAUGCUUGUUAUCAGCUCAUAAAGCGGAUGAUGGCGCUGAUAGUUUGGCCAUUGUGGAGGAUAUUAGGUGCUCAAUCAAACAUAUAAACCCUUCUAGAGUACCCGCAUAACCGAGGCAACUGCGACCGCUAGCGAUUUUGGGUCGCUCGAUCUACCUACGUGUAAAGUUUUUUUUUACUUUUCAUCUGCCUGGCAAACA